rnacentral:lncRNA from 1 species
AAAAAAAAAAAAGUUUUUCCUGUAAAAUGACUUCCUUGUUUCAUUGCUUGACACAGUAUAGAAAUGUCAUUUUAUAGGAAAAGUCAAGUUUUGCGAGAUUUUACCGGCCAGGAUUCAAUUGCGGUAUAUGAGCAAGUGAAGUGCUUAUGUGAAAAGCCAAGGGAUUAAAUCCAAAUCCUGGAGAAGUACAGGAACUAUCCAUACAAUUUACCACGAGAAAUUUAGAAGAAUGUAUGAUUAAUACCUGCCGUAGUUUAAGUUCUUUCUCCGUAACCAAAGAACUUAUUUGGAAAACGAAGCCAAACAUGGCAAUCGCAAGGAAAAAAGUUGGCCCUGCUUGCCCGACGGCAGAAAAAGUUUGGGUCGCUGGAUGAGCAAAUUCUUUAAAUCCCACCAUCCAGCUAAAAUUUGGAUCUGCCACAUGCAUUAGAAUCAAAUUAAGGCUUAAGAAAAGAUCAUUUAUUAACAAAGGUUAAAAAACAUCAACAACAUUAAACAAAUAAUGAUGAACAAUAAUUUGCGAGCAUAGUUUAAUUUAGUGCACCUCCUAUUAGAGACCUAGCUAUCUCCCGCUCGGCAGCAAUUUGAAGUGGAAUCUUGAACUUGAAGGUGGGGUCCUCAUAUGUUCCUCUCCUAGCCACUGCAGUGGAGUUGGUUUGUAUGCCGUAGCUUAUAACAGUGGCAUUUCUUUCCACAAAAUGCAAAACACCAGGACAACGCAUAGGAUCACUUAACAGCCAUGCAUCCACUUCAUCAGAAUUUCUAAAUGAUAUGACCUGAGAUAAUAAAAAGUGAAUUAUAUGUUUAAAAAUUACAAUAUUUUUCUUAACUGAUAUCCAUGAUGUACCAUCAUUGACAAUAGGUUUUAGUCAAAAAGUUCUCAUUUUCAGGAGGAAUAUAUAGUAUCCAGUGUUUUCUAAAUUCAACUAUUAAAACUAAGUUUCUCUGUGUUACCUUAAAGAGGACUUAGGUAAGAAGAUUUCAGAAUGCAAGACUAAUGUCGUGAGCCAUCUAUUUCAAAUGAAGCAAACUUUCUCAAUUGACCUAACCAUAUGGCUUAAUAGUAUUGCUUACCUUGCCAUUAGAAUAUUCAUCUUAAACUUCAAAUGCACAAGCAAGUAAACAAUGUGACAUAGCAUGAAAAGAAUAAAAAAAGUACACAAAAAUUAAAACUGGUUGAAGCGCUAAAAAUUGAUGUUUAUAGUUGGACAGAAAAUCAGGUGGUUUAUGACAACCCUUGCACCACAGGAGUUACCUUUUCAAAAACAGAAGAUUUGACUCACGAAGAAUAGAACCUGGUGGCUGUAAUGAAGCCACGUAACAAUGCUACUCUCUAUAAUUGUAAUACUUUCAAGUUUCAAUUUGACCUUUAACUACAUUAAGCUAUUAAAACUAAACAGAGUCAAAUACAUGAAGGUUACCGUACAAGCUUAUUUUUAAACUUCUCUUCCACAAAGACCAAUUUACCAUGGACGUACUGAGUUUGCUUAUACAAGCCCAUUCUCUAGCAAACCAAUUGAACACGCUCAAUCAACUCCAGAUCAUCCUUGAAAGUGCCAAGUUGCCAGUUGAUUCUAAACUACAUGUGCUCUCUAACAUCAUCAAAAGUCAACUAAAUAACAAGGGAUAAACUUAUGUUCUUUGAAUUUUUGACCUCUCUUAGUUUCUGAUUUUCCAUUUAAACAGAUUCAGCGCUACCUAAUUUUAUCCCAUUGAUCGAGCAAAAUGAUAAUUUCACUCAAAAUUUACUAAAGAUACAUUAUAAAAAGGUAACUUAACAAGAUAAAAUACGUCAAUAUAUACUAACGAUAAACAGAUCCACAGUAAACAGACCAGGGAAUAUACAUUAAAAAAUUACUUAACAUCAGAUGUUGCUUCAUCUGCACGAUUACUUUUUUUAAAUAUAAAAUAUAUGAACGGAUCAUUGACAUUUAAGAAUUUUUUUUAUAAAUAAUCUUAUUAAUUUUUAUAAUUAUAAAAAUAAUUUUGUUAAAAAAAUAAUUAUAAAAAUAGUCCUAUAAAUACGGUGAAUGAUUCACCGCAUUUAUAACUUCUCAUUAGGAGUAGAAAAAAAAUAAAAGCGGUAAACCAUUCACCGCUUUUAUUAUUAUAAAAAUAUAGAAAAAAAUGAAAAAAAUAAAGAAAGCGGUGAAUGAUUCACCACUUUUAUAAGACUAUAUUUAUAAAUAAAAAUUUAAUAAACUUAUUUUUAGAAUAAAUGUUUAGGAAAAGACUAUUAC